GAACCGCUUACGUAAAAUUCAUCGCAUGUCCUCUAAACUUUUGGGACAUACAGGUGUUACAUGGGAUCCAAAUACCAAUAAAGUUAAUGCCACAGAGGAAGUUUGGCAACAUUUUUAUAUGGUACAUAUAUUUAUUAAAGAAUAUAUUCGUCAUUAGUUUAUUAUCUUAUCAAUUAUACAUUUUCUUGUUGAAUGUUAUAACAAUGUGACUUUUUUUUCCAAUGGUAGAUUAACAAGUCGGAUUACAAGAUAUUCAGAAGGGAAGGAUGUAAGCACUACCACACUCUUAGGGAGAUAUUUAGCGGGAUUACUGCUACUGGAGGAUUAGGUAAUGCCUCCACUUAGCUUCCAAACACAUCAAAUGAAGAAAGAUAGCUAGAAGAUGAUUUCUUGAACAGGAGAGUGCUGCGGAAAAUGAUGAUGAAGUCGAUGAGCUUUCCUUUUCUCGUCGACGUAACGGAGUUGGUACAUCGGGUGAACGCCGACGUAAGGAACCUAAGAUCAGUAAAAGUAAUAAACUCGAGGCCUGCAUGGCACAGUGGUCAUCUGUGCAAAGUCUGAGGACUGAAGAAACUGAACUUAGAACACUUUACCUAAAAGAAAAGCUUGCAAAGAUCUAAGGAAAAUCACGUAAUCAAUCGGAUAGUGAAGUUAAUAGUCCGGAUCCUUAUCCAAAUGUUAUUUGCUUGGACAUCUUAAACAGUAUGGAAGGGGUGUCCAACGAGGUUUAUAUGAAAACAAUAAAAGCUUUUAAGGAUCCCGAUUUCAGAGUGUCAUUUGUGAAGAUGCCAGAAGCAAGGAGAGGACCUAUAUUAGAACUGCUUUGAUGUGACUGUUGUUUUAAUCUCUCUAGUAUGAUGUUGUUUUAAUUUGUGAUGUUAAAAGUUGAAGUAUUGUGUCAUUUUCAAAGCUUUCAAGGACCUUUCUUUCCAUUUUGUGGUGAUGUUGUACUGUUUCCAUUAUGGAGAACAUAUGUUAAUUGUUCUGUAGUUUCUAAAUGCUUGAUUGCUUGUUUUAUUUGAAAGAAUGUGGUUGAUAUGACUUAUGAUAAUUAUUUUGGUUAUGCUUUGUUCACAGUAUGGCCAGUCAAUUAAAUGUGGAUGAUAA
rnacentral:lncRNA from 1 species